rnacentral:rRNA from 1 species
UUUACGGAGAGUUUGAUUCUGGCUCAGGACGAACGCUGGCGGCGUGCUUAACACAUGCAAGUCGAACGGUGAUGGCCAGCUUGCUGGUCUGAUCAGUGGCGAACGGGUGAGUAACACGUGAGCAACCUGCCCCUGACUCUGGGAUAACGACCGGAAACGGUCGCUAAUACCGGAUAUGAGACGUACAGGCAUCUGUUGCGUCUGGAAAGUUUUUCGGUCAGGGAUGGGCUCGCGGCCUAUCAGCUUGUUGGUGGGGUAACGGCCUACCAAGGCGACGACGGGUAGCCGGCCUGAGAGGGCGACCGGCCACACUGGGACUGAGACACGGCCCAGACUCCUACGGGAGGCAGCAGUGGGGAAUAUUGCACAAUGGGCGCAAGCCUGAUGCAGCGACGCCGCGUGAGGGAUGACGGCCUUCGGGUUGUAAACCUCUUUCAGCAGGGAAGAAGCGCAAGUGACGGUACCUGCAGAAGAAGCGCCGGCUAACUACGUGCCAGCAGCCGCGGUAAUACGUAGGGCGCAAGCGUUGUCCGGAAUUAUUGGGCGUAAAGAGCUCGUAGGCGGUCUGUCGCGUCUGCUGUGAAAACCUCAGGCUCAACCUGGGGCUUGCAGUGGGUACGGGCAGACUAGAGUGCGGUAGGGGUG